GUGCAUGGUUGUCGUCAGCUCGUGUCGUGAGAUGUUGGGUUAAGUCCCGCAACGAGCGCAACCCUUGAUCUUAGUUGCCAGCAUUUAGUUGGGCACUCUAAGGUGACUGCCGGUGACAAACCGGAGGAAGGUGGGGAUGACGUCAAAUCAUCAUGCCCCUUAUGACCUGGGCUACACCCGUGCUCCAAUGGACAGAACAAAGGGCUGCAAGACCGCAAGGUUUAGCCAAUCCCAUAAAUCUGUUUUCAGUUCGGAUCGCAGUCUGCAACUCGACUGCGUGAAGCUGGAAUCGCUAGUAAUCGCGGAUCAGCAUGCCGCGGUGAAUACGUUCCCGGGCCUUGUACACACCGCCCGUCACACCACGAGAGUUUGCAACACCCGAAGUCGGUGAGGUAACCUUUAUGGAGCCAGCCGCCGAAGGUGGGCAGAUG
rnacentral:rRNA from 1 species